UACGAAGGGGGCUAGCGUUGCUCGGAAUCACUGGGCGUAAAGCGCACGUAGGCGGAUUGCUAAGUCAGGGGUGAAAUCCUGGAGCUCAACUCCAGAACUGCCUUUGUACUGGCGAUCUCGAGUCCGGGAGAGGUGAGUGGAACUGCGAGUGUAGAGGUGAAAUUCGUAGAUAUUCGCAAGAACACCAGUGGCGAAGGCGGCUCACUGGCCCGGUACUGACGCUGAGGUGCGAAAGCGUGGGGAGCAACAGG
rnacentral:rRNA from 1 species